GGGGUCGUAGUUUAACCUGGCUAGAGCGGCCGGCUCCAGACCGGCAAAUCGGGGUUCAAAGGAGUCUCGAUGAAUUUCCCCGCGGCCCCA
rnacentral:tRNA from 1 species